AUGCAGACAACUGGGGUUGAAACAAGCUGCUACUCAUUAACAGGAUGACUUAACCAUAAAAAUCUUCAAUUUUCUCAUCUGGAAAAUGGGGAUAAUAAGCUCAUAUAAUCUCCUAGGGUUGCUGGGAGAAUUAAAUCAGAAGCUAUGAUAAUAAGGCAGACUGAUGCUUCUGGAGUGUAGCAGAUUGUAUUUUCUAAAAAUGGCCACAAGAAUGUGCUCUCCUAGAACCUUGCCCAUGCCCCCAUCAAGAAGUGGAUGGUUCUUUGUGACAGCCACAAUGAAUAGGAUGUGGUGGAGGUGGUACUGUGUGACUGGCUAAUAAAAGGUGAUAUGGCCUCUGUCUCUCUCCCUGUCCGUACUAUAGGAGUUCUGAACCAUCCUGUGACAAGUCUAGCUACCCUAAAGCUGUCAUGCAGGAGAGAUCAUGUGGAGAGAAGGAGAGUUAGACAGAGGAGGAGCCCCUGCUGUUUGAGUAUUCUCAGCCUAGACACCAGACAUGAGUGAGGAAGCAUUCAGAACUCCAGGCAGCGUGGCCACCUGAAAACUUACAUUUCCUAGCCUCCCAUGCAGAUGUGGUCAUGAUGGCUGGAGCCCUAGCAACCAUAUCAUGACCACAAGAAUGGGUGCACUAUAACCAGGAUGGCACGGCAAAGGAUUGGAAAAGAACCAGGGUCUCUGAUGACUUUAUGAGGCCACUACACAGCUCUACAUAGACUACCUCCAAUCUUAUUUAAUGAAAAGACAGAAGCUGAUUGAGGUCCCAGCUUGGUAACAGUUUGAAGAGUUGCAGGACUGGCUGGAUGAGUACUGGCUGCAGCAAGUCAUGCUGCCAGGAUUCUUUAUGGCUGUUUCUGCUUCCACUACAGCUGAGUCAGAAAGGUCGCUGCCCAGUGGUGGCAGUAGAUGCAGUGGACCUGGCAAGCAAAUGUUUCCGCUAUUAGCUCUCAGCAACAGAGACUCAUUUAUGGUCACCUUGGAAAUCUGGGCUUAUCGAUCUACAGCCCAAGUCUGCUGAGAAGCUGGAGCUUACUAAAGGGGAAACCUGAGAGCUGUUCAAGCCCCAAACAUUUUCCACUUCUGCGUCACCUCUGCUGUCUGUUAGCAGAGUGGAGGAGAAAAUACACCAGCACAAACAACGUGAAAAAAUACUCUAUUCAUUAAAAGCUGUAACUUCCAGACUGGACUUGAGAAGCAAUUAAGCAACAGAGGCACCUCAUCUACUAUC
rnacentral:antisense_RNA from 1 species